rnacentral:rRNA from 1 species
AAUGGGUCAGCGACUUAUAUUCUGUAGCAAGGUUAACCGAAUAGGGGAGCCGAAGGGAAACCGAGUCUUAACUGGGCGUUAAGUUGCAGGGUAUAGACCCGAAACCCGGUGAUCUAGCCAUGGGCAGGUUGAAGGUUGGGUAACACUAACUGGAGGACCGAACCGACUAAUGUUGAAAAAUUAGCGGAUGACUUGUGGCUGGGGGUGAAAGGCCAAUCAAACCGGGAGAUAGCUGGUUCUCCCCGAAAGCUAUUUAGGUAGCGCCUCGUGAAUUCAUCUCCGGGGGUAGAGCACUGUUUCGGCAAGGGGGUCAUCCCGACUUACCAACCCGAUGCAAACUGCGAAUACCGGAGAAUGUUAUCACGGGAGACACACGGCGGGUGCUAACGUCCGUCGUGAAGAGGGAAACAACCCAGACCGCCAGCUAAGGUCCCAAAGUCAUGGUUAAGUGGGAAACGAUGUGGGAAGGCCCAGACAGCCAGGAUGUUGGCUUAGAAGCAGCCAUCAUUUAAAGAAAGCGUAAUAGCUCACUGGUCGAGUCGGCCUGCGCGGAAGAUGUAACGGGGCUAAACCAUGCACCGAAGCUGCGGCAGCGACACUGUGUGUUGUUGGGUAGGGGAGCGUUCUGUAAGCCUGUGAAGGUGUACUGUGAGGUAUGCUGGAGGUAUCAGAAGUGCGAAUGCUGACAUAAGUAACGAUAAAGCGGGUGAAAAGCCCGCUCGCCGGAAGACCAAGGGUUCCUGUCCAACGUUAAUCGGGGCAGGGUGAGUCGACCCCUAAGGCGAGGCCGAAAGGCGUAGUCGAUGGGAAACAGGUUAAUAUUCCUGUACUUGGUGUUACUGCGAAGGGGGGACGGAGAAGGCUAUGUUGGCCGGGCGACGGUUGUCCCGGUUUAAGCGUGUAGGCUGGUUUUCCAGGCAAAUCCGGAAAAUCAAGGCUGAGGCGUGAUGACGAGGCACUACGGUGCUGAAGCAACAAAUGCCCUGCUUCCAGGAAAAGCCUCUAAGCAUCAGGUAACAUCAAAUCGUACCCCAAACCGACACAGGUGGUCAGGUAGAGAAUACCAAGGCGCUUGAGAGAACUCGGGUGAAGGAACUAGGCAAAAUGGUGCCGUAACUUCGGGAGAAGGCACGCUGAUAUGUAGGUGAAGCGACUUGCUCGUGGAGCUGAAAUCAGUCGAAGAUACCAGCUGGCUGCAACUGUUUAUUAAAAACACAGCACUGUGCAAACACGAAAGUGGACGUAUACGGUGUGACGCCUGCCCGGUGCCGGAAGGUUAAUUGAUGGGGUCAGCGCAAGCGAAGCUCUUGAUCGAAGCCCCGGUAAACGGCGGCCGUAACUAUAACGGUCCUAAGGUAGCGAAAUUCCUUGUCGGGUAAGUUCCGACCUGCACGAAUGGCGUAAUGAUGGCCAGGCUGUCUCCACCCGAGACUCAGUGAAAUUGAACUCGCUGUGAAGAUGCAGUGUACCCGCGGCAAGACGGAAAGACCCCGUGAACCUUUACUAUAGCUUGACACUGAACAUUGAGCCUUGAUGUGUAGGAUAGGUGGGAGGCUUUGAAGUGUGGACGCCAGUCUGCAUGGAGCCGACCUUGAAAUACCACCCUUUAAUGUUUGAUGUUCUAACGUGGACCCGUGAUCCGGGUUGCGGACAGUGUCUGGUGGGUAGUUUGACUGGGGCGGUCUCCUCCUAAAGAGUAACGGAGGAGCACGAAGGUUGGCUAAUCCUGGUCGGACAUCAGGAGGUUAGUGCAAUGGCAUAAGCCAGCUUGACUGCGAGCGUGACGGCGCGAGCAGGUGCGAAAGCAGGUCAUAGUGAUCCGGUGGUUCUGAAUGGAAGGGCCAUCGCUCAACGGAUAAAAGGUACUCCGGGGAUAACAGGCUGAUACCGCCCAAGAGUUCAUAUCGACGGCGGUGUUUGGCACCUCGAUGUCGGCUCAUCACAUCCUGGGGCUGAAGUAGGUCCCAAGGGUAUGGCUGUUCGCCAUUUAAAGUGGUACGCGAGCUGGGUUUAGAACGUCGUGAGACAGUUCGGUCCCUAUCUGCCGUGGGCGCUGGAGAACUGAGGGGGGCUGCUCCUAGUACGAGAGGACCGGAGUGGACGCAUCACUGGUGUUCGGGUUGUCAUGCCAAUGGCACUGCCCGGUAGCUAAAUGCGGAAGAGAUAAGUGCUGAAAGCAUCUAAGCACGAAACUUGC